rnacentral:rRNA from 1 species
UACGUAGGGGGCAAGCGUUGUCCGGAAUCAUUGGGCGUAAAGCGCGUGUAGGCGGUUCGGUAAGUCUGCUGUGAAAGUCCAGGGCUCAACCCUGGGAUGCCGGUGGAUACUGUCGGGCUUGAGUACGGGAGAGGCGAGUGGAAUUCCUGGUGUAGCGGUGAAAUGCGCAGAUAUCAGGAGGAACACCGAUUGCGAAGGCAGCUCGCUGGAACGUUACUGACGCUGAGACGCGAAAGCGUGGGGAGCAAACAGG